GCGGGUGUAGUUCAAUGGCAGAACUCCAGCUUUCCAAGCUGGAUGUUGUGGGUUCGAAUCCCAUCACCCGCU
rnacentral:tRNA from 1 species